GCCAGAUAAAGGUAACAGCAUUGAAGAGAAGCACUUAACUAUUAAAAUUUUUUUUUUCUUCUUUGCAAACAAUUUGAUGAGAGAGAGCAGUUAUCCAUCUAUAUGGGUAGAAAAUGAGUUGUGGAUGGAAGGCAAAUUGUUGGGCAUUAUCUGUGGAGCAUAACAAUAGUAGAUCUGAUUGUCAUGUUGAAAGCCAAAUUAU
rnacentral:lncRNA from 1 species